CGCCCUCGAGACGGCCACUUCUGGGCUGAGAUUGGUUGACAUCGCGACUGCCCCGCCGCUGUGGCGGAAGCGUCUCCAGGCUUCUUCUCUCAUUGGGCGUACUUCGCGUCAAUCAAAGGAACCUCUCUGCCGCCCAUUAGUGAAGCUGGACCCAGCCCGUCCUUCUCGCCUCUCCUCCUCGGAAGGGAUUUGUUCGCUCUGGUCCUCUGUGUUCCAGUGCUGUCAGCUGCUUGUCCGCAUGAUGUACCGGGGCCUCGCCCUCCAUCCGUCUUCCAGGCCUCCACUACCCAGCCAAGUUUUGUGGAGCUCCUUUGGUAUUUAAUGUGUCUACUUGUUUAUCUCGCCUACUAGACAGUAAGGCUGGAGCCCUAACCCAACAGGACUGGCGUCCUUAAAAGCAGAGGUAAAGAUGGACAGAUUUUACCGUAUGAAAAUGAGACAUUUCUGUAUGGCAAAGACUACAUUAAGCGAAGUAAACAAGCACACAAAUUAAAAGCAUGGGAUUGGAGAUAACUAUGUUAAA